rnacentral:lncRNA from 1 species
UCAGGGUUCUAACCCCUUUCCAUAGACUUACACAGUAAUUAUGACAACUUCCGGAGGACGUUCCCGGAGGACAUCCUCCAACCUAUCAGAGCUCUUGCAGCAUGAACUGACAUUUUGUCCACCCAAUCAAAGGAUCAGAGAAUGAAUCUUGUAGUGAAAGCAUAAGAUACAGCUAGCUAGCAAUGCACUGCAUAACAUGUGGUGAGUAGUUGACUCAAAGAGAGAGAAAUACAAUAGUUGAACAGUUUUGAACAAAUUAAUUUCUUCCAAAAUGAAGGAGAAGCAAGAAAUAUAUAAAGUGAGAGAUUUACAUAUUUUUUCACUUGCAGUUUCACUUACUUUGUUAGCAAAUGCAGCUAGCUAGUUUAGCCUACUCAAACACCCUGCUCAAACAGAGGGAUGCUAUGUUAGCUAGCUGGCUAUGACUAUCCAACACAACCCUGGAACUCUUCCAAGUCAAGAGCUGUCUCUCUGGCACAGGAUCCCCCAGGCGUAUCUAUAAACAUCCUGUUAUUCGGAGGCCCAGUCACGUUUGGACUUUCCCCUGUGAUGCUGGUAGGCUCACUAUCAUCACGGGUAGAGGUGCAGCUUGAUGAGAUCCAUGAAGACAAGAUGCAGCAGUGGAGGAGGUGGAGGAAAGACAAUGGGACUAAGAACCAGAGCAGCCUUCUUCUACAUGGACAAACAUAUUGGAACCAAUGGAAAACAAGACUGUUCUGUCUGAUUUCUGCUCACCUUCUGAUCAUCAAUGCUCACGUUACUCCUCCCUCCGGCCUAACUUACUGCCGGGCUGGCUGAGUACCCUGUCAGCUCCACAACGACAACCUAAGCACCCUCCCUCACAUACACUCUGCAAUCUGCACUUGAGCCAAGGGUAGGCUACACCGUUGUGGGUUUGUGAGGGAAGGAUGAACACAACAGGACAUAGUUUUAUCCAGGGAUGAAAAUGACCAGAUGUUUUCUAGGCAUAAUAUAUGGAGACAGUUAUCAGGUGGGUUGCAUGAACACUUCAAAUCAAAUACAACUUACCUGCAUACUGUUAGGUGUUCUUAAUUAAAUGGACAAUGUUUUAACCAACAAUUUGUUUACUGAGAAAAACACCCGUCCCAGUUAAAGACCAGUCUCUCUCCUGGUGAAAGACCAGGAGAGAGACUUCCCCACGCACAGAUAUCCCCCUCUGCUGGUGUGAUCUCACCAGACCAUUACUUAGGCCUAUGCUAGCUAGUGUACUAUAGCUCCCUGAGAUGGUUGUAAAGCCAUUGUAUAUCAGAUUUCCCUUCUACACCCACAUCAGCAGGUGCAACGACGUCUCUCUCUCUCUCUCUCUCUCUCUCUCUCUCUCUCUCUCGUCUCUUCUCUACUCUCUCCAUAAUCUUAUUCUGUUUCUCUGCUUCUUUUCCCUAUCUCUCUCCCAAACUCUUAUCUCUCUCUCUCUCUUCCCUAUCUCUCUCCCA